rnacentral:rRNA from 1 species
UACGUAGGGGGCGAGCGUUGUCCGGAAUCAUUGGGCGUAAAGCGCGCGUAGGCGGCCUCAUAAGUCCGUUGUGAAAGUCAAAGGCUCAACCUUUGAAAGCCGAUGGAUACUGUGAGGCUAGAGUCCGGAAGAGGCGAGUGGAAUUCCUGGUGUAGCGGUGGAAUGCGCAGAUAUCAGGAGGAACACCAAUAGCGAAGGCAGCUCGCUACACAAAUAUUGACACUGAGGCACGAAAGCGUGGGGAUCAAACAGG